CCUACGGGUGGCAGCAGUGAGGAAUAUUGGUCAAUGGACGAGAGCCUGAACCAGCCAAGUAGCGUGAAGGAUGACUGCCCUAUGGGUUGUAAACUUCUUUCAUAAAGGAAUAAAACGAGGCACGUGUGCCUUUUUGCAUGUACUUUAUGAAUAAGGAUCGGCUAAUUCCGUGCCAGCAGCCGCGGUAAUACGGAGGAUCCGAGCGUUAUCCGGAUUUAUUGGGUUUAAAGGGAGCGUAGAGGGGUUGUUAAGUCAGUUGUGAAAGUUUGCGGCUCAACCGUAAAAUUGCAAUUGAUACUGGCAGUCUUGAGUACAGUGGAGGUAGGCGGAAUUCGUGGUGUAGCGGUGAAAUGCUUAGAUAUCACGAAGAACCCCGAUUGCGAAGGCAGUUGACUGGACUGCAACUGACACUGAGGCUCGAAAGUGUGGGUAUCAAACAGGAUUAGAUACCCCUGUAGUC
rnacentral:rRNA from 1 species